AUGGAGUACUUUACCUAAUUGGAGGGAGGGAGUUAUUCGAUAACUUCCCCCACUCCUUAUUUCACGUUAGUGGAGAGAGGGAGUUAUUUGAUAACUUCACCUACCUCCCUCAUCUUUUAGAAAGAGAAAUUUCGUGAAGAAGUUUUUCUUAGGCUACAAGGAACUGUCUCAAGAAAAAUAGAAGUCUCUCUUUUCCCUUCACCAAACAAAAAUCAUAGAAGGCCACACCUCUUUGUGAUUCUCAACUUGAUAAUAACAAGGAAGACUCCACUAGUAGGGUUCUUGCAACUGGAUACUGAUUCGAAAUUUUUUUGACUUUGAUUGAAGAAUGUUCGUAAUCCAAAGGAGAGGAAUUUCGUGAAGAAGGAAAAUUCUACGAGCAUUAUUUUUCUUUUCUUUCUCUUUAGAAAAUCAUGCUAAUAGGUUUAAAAUGUUUAUCCUAUUUUAUUGUCUUUUUUUGUUCUCUAUAAUUUGUGGCUUACAAAAUUGGAUUCCAACUACACGACAUUCACGUGCUACAUGUAAUACCCGUAUCUUCUAUCCCAUUUGCUUGCUAGAAAGUUGAGAAGAUAAGCUAAGUGUUUUUCCAAGAGUCUUGGACUAAGUCAAGGAUCUCAUGAUAGCAUCUCAGGGCGAAUUGAAGUAAAGCAAGUGCCCAAAGGUGGUAUAUCGGGACGGAGGUGUUAAACUUGGUCCUGUUUGACCAAGAAAAAGGUAGAGAAAGACAUAAGUGAGAAUCUUGGGCCAGCCUUGAGAAAUCUCGAAGGAGAUGGAAAAUAGAGAAUAAAUCUAGGUGCUAAGACAGAAGCAUCUUGGCGCUUAUUGACCGAGUCAAAAGGCAGAAGGGUUUUAAAGAUGUGUUCUCAAGCCAUCUCGAGACUGUGGUAGAUUAAGAAAAGUGAAGAUCUCAGUGGAUCUUGGACUGGUCGCAAUCAAGAUCACUUAAAUAUGCAUGACAGAUAGAUAUCCAGAAAUUCUUAUUGCUUGAGGUUAGCAUUUUUUGGAUGCAAUAAGACAUUUUUAAGUAUAGAAGACCUUCAUUUUUCUCAUUUCUCACCAUUUUCGCUUCAAGAAAAAAGUAUAGAGAAGAAGUAAAGAGGAGUUGCAAUUUACUUGCAAGUGUUGGAGUUAAGCAAGAGGGUAGUUUGGCCAAGCUUCAGUUAGGGGCGUUCAAUCAAGAGACAUCCAAGAAAUUAAAGGUGUUGGCGAGUUUGAGCUAAAGAAGAAGAGUAGAACUUGAGGUUAGACCCAACUAAGUUUAAGUUUAUCCUUAUUUGUUUAAGAAGUUUAAGAGAAAGUUUCUUAAGUUAGGGCUUGUCGUUUUAGGCUCCAAAUCAGUUGGGAGCUCAUGUGAAGUUAGGGCAAACUUGAAGAAUCAAACUUGUGCAAGCUAAGACCACCGAAAGAGUUCAAAGAAGUCGAGAGGAACCUGUAAUUCUUGUGACGCAAGCACAUCAAGCUUUUACCUAGAUGACCCAUAAAAUGGUAGCAGUUGGAAAGUUGGUGCAAGUUGUUCAGAAUAAACGUAUAUGGGACGUGCCAGAAGUGGACAAUGUUGAGAAUGAGGACCUGAAUGUACUAGAAAUUAUUGUCAGCCAUCUAGUAGAGGAGCACAUCAAGAAUGACACUCUGUGCAGGACUGACGUUGGUCCCACAAUCGUUGAAAGGCCGGUUGUGUGUUAUGCCACUGACGACCUCAUCGACAAUGUGGAUGAACGCUUGUCACAUGCAAGCGAAACAAGCGACGACGACAAAUUAUAGUGACGAACCACCUACCCACAUAUUUAUGUAGUUUAUAUAUUUCGAUUCUAGCUAUGUGUUCAUAUUUGUUUAUUGAAUGUUUGUUUUCUAUGUCAACAGGCAUUAUGUCAUUCCCAUGCACUAGUUUCCUCAAGACGGAUGCUAUGUUCCUCGAGUUUGCAGACGAUUUAGAUAACCUUGCGGAAGGGUCGUCGUCCGUGGGCAAUAAUUCGAGAGACGUGUGCAGUCUCGACUCUUAGAGUUGGAGUGCUAUGUUGCAGCCAAUGGUCAGAUUCCGAUGACGGUCGCCCUUGGUGCGAAGAAGCCUAUUUCUCCACACACCAUUCGCUUCAGCCAAACGAUAGGCUUGUGUGUCCGAAAGACAUUUCUCGUCUGCUGCCUUAACUGGGCAGACGUAGGCAGAGAAUACAUCGAGGUCGUCAAGGGCGAACUCCAGGUAAGUCCACUACACAUUUAUAAAUUCAUUUGAAACAUAUUUAAGUUAACCAAGCUAAUGUGUUGUUUUCGUAAUGUGUAGCGGUAUUUUGUGUUUGAUUUCAAUGAUCAAGUAAUGAAUAGGUUCGUUGAGCAUCGAUGCUCACCAUCUUUAAAGAGUUUUAGGGAGAAUGUCAAAGACACUUCAAAAAGUAUAGCGACCCUGAGGAGACUCGUGCCAACCCACCACACCUAUUGGUGGGACGUGAUGAGGAUUAGCACUUCUUCUGUGACCACUACAUGAAUCGUGCAUUCCAGGAGCAAUCAUAGAUGAACAAGGGUGCUAGACAAAAACAACCUUAUAAUCAUAGUAGCAGGUCAAAGUCGUUUCUACAACAAUAGCACGAGCUCUCUGAGCAAAGAGGGGAGCCAGUCGAUCAUGAGGAGUUGUUCUGACAAACACAUAUUCCAUACGGGACGUUCGUGUCCCAGACUGUGGAGGAUGCACAUAACUCCAGUCCCAGCCUACCCCAGAGUUGGGUAGACAACCGGGCUACUCAAAAGGCCUUGGUUGGGAAUCCAAGCCGAAGGCCCGUAAGACGCGAGUGCGAGCAGUUCCACGACGUCAUGUCUGCAAUCCAUAGUAUAGCUUCAAUUACAGGCUAAGCUUGAUCAAGUUAUGCAACGGAUUGAAGAGUAGGUAAGAAAUCACGAAGCGUUAGUUUCAGAAGUGGAACGAAUGCGGAAGCUGAUAGAAGGCAUGACUCGGGCACAACAAGAACCACCACAUGAUGAUCCCUAGCUUUUGCGGACCCGCAGUAUAGAAUGAUGUACGAGGCUCGUUAGUAGAUGUAGGGGCACAGCGAGGGGCAGACCGACGAGAGGCAGGAAGGAUGCGUGAAGGCCAUAUGGACGCGUCUGGUUUUCUUAUCGCUUCCGCUAUGUAUUUUGUCUGAAUAUUUUGACUUGUGAUUUUGAACUGGUGCCUUGAUAUUUUUAUUUUGUGACUUUCUUGAUUUAUUUAAAAUAGGGCCCGAAACUGUCUUUUGUAAGGUUUCUAAUGUUUUAAUGAAUCGUAACUGGUCUGUUUUAAAUUUUAUGUUGAAUGGUCGAGUUUUGGUAUUUGGUAGUGACCUCAGCUUAGUCCGGAAAGUUGGGUCGUUACAGUUGGUAUCAGAGCCUAAGUUUUAGGUUCUGUAGACUGACUUAUAAUGUGAGUCUGUGUUUUGUGUCCUUAUGGCUGAAACGAUCCUUGCCGCUCGUCAGGUACGCUCUCAUGAAAGUAUAUGUAUAACUCUACAUGCAUUACCUUACCUAAGUUAAACUGCAAAUUCAAUUACCAUUUAUGACUAAAGGAAUCGUUUGGUG